ACUAACUUCCAGCUUCUAACCUCUAAUAGUCUAAUCGUUAGUGGCGACGGGUGAGUAACACGUUGGAAACCUGCCCCAAAGUAAGGGAUAAGCCACCGAAAGGUGGUCUAAUACCUUAUAGUAUCCAUCUCGUAUGGAUUAAAGCUUUAUGCGCUUUGGGAGGGGCCUGCGUUUGAUUAGCUAGUUGGUGAGGUAAAAAGCUCACCAAGGCGACGAUCAAUAGCUGGUUUGAGAGGAUGACCAGCCACACUGGGACUGAGAUACGGCCCAGACUCCUACGGGAGGCAGCAGUAAGGAAUCUUCCACAAUGGGGGCAACCCUGAUGGAGCAAUACCGCGUGCAGGAUGAGGCGUUUCGGCGUGUAAACUGCUUUUAUCACCGAAGAUUAUGACUGUAGGUGAAGAAUAAGGACCGGCUAACUACGUG
rnacentral:rRNA from 1 species